GAUGAAGAACGCAGCGAAAUGCGAUACGUAAUGUGAAUUGCAGAAUUCAGUGAAUCAUCGAAUCUUUGAACGCAUAUUGCGCUCUUUGGUAUUCCGAAGAGCAUGCUUGUUUGAGUAUCAGUAAACACCUCAACCUCUUCUUGAUUUUUCAAAAGGAGGGUGGACUUGAGCUAUCCCAACAACCUUUACCGGUCGGCGGGCGGCUUGAAAUGCAGGUGCAGCUGGACUUUUAUCUGAGCUAAAAGCAUAUCUAUUUAGUCCUCGUCAAACAGGAUUAUUACUUUUGCUGCAGCUAACAUAAAGGAUAAUUGUCCUCUUUGCUGACUGAUGCAGGAUUUUACGACCCUUUAUGUGUUGUUCAACUCGAUCUCAAAUCAAGUAAGACUACCCGCUGAACUUAAGCAUAUCAAUAAGCGGAGGA
rnacentral:misc_RNA from 1 species